AUGUUGAAUCAGGGACCUUUGUUGAUGACUUUGGAUCAUCAUUUAUUCCGAAAUGAGCUGAAUAUGGUUGCCUCCCUCCAUUCCAUGAGAAAGUUAGUUCAAUGCGUUAAUCCCUAUUCCUUGCAUGUGUGGUUAGCUUUGUUCUAUUCUUACAUUGAUGGAGACAGUAAGUACAUAGAUGUUAUCACUACUGCAAAUCUCAAACAUGUUUUGGCUUAUUCAAAGAUCACACGUAUUUCUUUCCCCAACAUCUAUUCCUAUUGCUCCAUUGAUCUGAUUUUGAGUAUUUCCAGGUUAGAAAGUGAUGUUUCCAAACAAUUUAGGAUCAAUGGAAGAAAAUAUCCAAUGUGCCAGGUUAUGCGCAACUCAACAUUUGACCUUUGUUAUUUGUAG
rnacentral:rRNA from 1 species